rnacentral:RNase_P_RNA from 1 species
CAAGCAAGCCGGGCGGUUGCGUGCGGCGAGGCCGUACGAGGAAAGUCCGAGCUCCAUAGAGCAGGGUGCUGGGUAACACCCAGUGGGGGCGACCCCAAGGAAAGUGCCACAGAAACAUACCGCCGGCCUUGGCCGGCAAGGGUGAAAUGGUGAGGCAAGAGCUCACCGGCAGCAGGGUGAUCUGCUGGCCGGGUAAACCCCACCUGGAGCAAGACCGUGUAGGAAGGCGAUGCGCUCCGGCGCGUCGGGGCUGCUCGUCCUGGUCCUUCGGGUAAGGUCGCUUGAGGCAACGAGAAAUCGCUGCCCUAGAUAGAUGAUCGCCACCCGCUCGGUCGCAAGGCCGGGAGGGAACAGAACUCGGCUUACGGCUUGCUUGGGCC